rnacentral:rRNA from 1 species
GACGAACGCUGGCGGCGUGCCUAAUACAUGCAAGUCGAACGCAGUGGGGACGGGUGAUUAACACGUGGGUAACCUCCCAUCAGAGGGGAUAACACUUGGAAACAGGUGCUAAACCGAUACUGAUGGAUGGUCCAGCGGGGCAUUAGCUAGUUGGUGAGGUAACGGCUCACCGAGGCCACGAUGCAUAGCGGACCUGGGGGGGUGACCGGCCACACUGUGACUGAGACACGGCCCAGCCUCCUACGGGAGGCAGCAGUGGGGAAUCGUGGGCAAUGGGCGAAAGUCUGACCGAGCAAGGCCGCGGGAGUGAAGAAGGUUUUCGGGUCGUAAAACUCUGUUGUGAGAGAAGCGGUAUCUAACCAGGAAGCCACGGCUAACUACGUGCCAGCAGCCGCGGUAAUUC